GACGAACGCUGGCGGCGUGCUUAACACAUGCAAGUCGAACGGUGACGAGGAGCUUGCUCCUCUGAUCAGUGGCGAACGGGUGAGUAACACGUGAGCAACCUGCCCCAGACUCUGGGAUAACAGUUGGAAACAGCUGCUAAUACCGGAUACGAGACGGAGAGGCAUCUCUACCGUCUGGAAAGUUUUUCGGUCUGGGAUGGACUCGCGGCCUAUCAGCUAGUUGGUGAGGUAAUGGCUCACCAAGGCGACGACGGGUAGCCGGCCUGAGAGGGCGACCGGCCACACUGGGACUGAGACACGGCCCAGACUCCUACGGGAGGCAGCAGUGGGGAAUAUUGCACAAUGGGCGAAAGCCUGAUGCAGCGACGCCGCGUGAGGGAUGACGGCCUUCGGUUGUAACGUACUUUCUAGCGAGGAAGAAGACGAAAGUAGACGGUACGUGCAGAAGAAGACGACCGGACUAACUACGUACGCC
rnacentral:rRNA from 1 species